GAUCAUGGCUCAGGAUGAACGCUGGCGGCGUGCUUAACACAUGCAAGUCGAACGAAGCACUUUAAUUGAUUUCUUCGGAAUGAAGUUUUGUGACUGGGUGGCGGACGGGUGAGUAACGCGUGGGUAACCUGCCUCAUACAGGGGGAUAACAGUUGGAAACGACUGCUAAUACCGCAUAAGCGCACGGGAUUGCAUGAUCCAGUGUGAAAAACUCCGGUGGUAUGAGAUGGACCCGCGU
rnacentral:rRNA from 1 species